rnacentral:tRNA from 1 species
GUUUUAAUAGUUUAAACAAAACAUUGGUCUUGUAAAUCAAAAAUAAAAAAUUAUUUUUUUUAAAACU